rnacentral:rRNA from 1 species
AUUGAACGCUAGCGGGAUGCUUUACACUUGCAAGUCGAACGGCAGCGCGGACUUCGGUCUGGCGGCGAGUGGCGAACGGGUGAGUAAUGUAUCGGAACGUGCCCAGUAGCGGGGGAUAACUACGCGAAAGCGUAGCUAAUACCGCAUACGCCCUACGGGGGAAAGCAGGGGAUCGUAAGACCUUGCACUAUUGGAGCGGCCGAUAUCGGAUUAGCUAGUUGGUGAGGUAACGGCUCACCAAGGCGACGAUCCGUAGCUGGUUUGAGAGGACGACCAGCCACACUGGGACUGAGACACGGCCCAGACUCCUACGGGAGGCAGCAGUGGGGAAUUUUGGACAAUGGGGGCAACCCUGAUCCAGCCAUCCCGCGUGUGCGAUGAAGGCCUUCGGGUUGUAAAGCACUUUUGGCAGGAAAGAAACGUCGCGGGCUAAUACCCCGUGGAACUGACGGUACCUGCAGAAUAAGCACCGGCUAACUACGUG